UUAGUGGCGAACGGGUGAGUAAUACGUGAGUAACCUACCUUUAACUCUGGGAUAAGCCUGGGAAACUGGGUCCAAUACCGGAUACGACCAAUCUCCGCAUGGGGUGUUGGUGGAAAGCGUUAUGUAGUGGUUAUAGAUGGGCUCACGGCCUAUCAGCUUGUUGGUGAGGUAACGGCUCACCAAGGCGACGACGGGUAGCCGGCCUGAGAGGGUGACCGGCCACACUGGGACUGAGACACGGCCCAG
rnacentral:rRNA from 1 species